rnacentral:lncRNA from 1 species
UCUAAGAUUUGACCAUUUCAAGGGGACAUGACUUACACAAGCUUGUCUCUUGGAAUAACUGAAUUUUUCAAGAUUUAGCUCAAGCUCCAUCUUCCUCAAGGUAUGCAUCUGGAAGAUGGAGGACUAUAGUAUAUAUAGAUUCAUGAGCAAACCUCUUCAAUUCAUCUAGGAAUGUCGUCUCUAAAAAAAAUCCAUAAGGAGACUACUGAUACCUAAUGGGAGGAACAGAGAAAUGAGAACUGAAAUAUUACCUUUAAAAUUAACUCAUUAAA